AACGUAGGAGGCAAGCGUUAUCCGAAUUUACUGGGCGUAAAGCGUGUGCAGGCGGUUCGGUAAGUUGGAUGUGAAAUCUCUUGGCUCAACUGAGAGAGGUCGUUCAAGACUGUCGGACUAGAGGGCGAUAGAGGGAGGUGGAAUUCCCGGUGUAGCGGUAAAAUGCGUAAAUAUCGGGAGGAACACCUGUGGCGAAAGCGGCCUCCUGGGUCGUACCUGACGCUCAGACACGAAAGCUAGGGGAGCGAACGGG
rnacentral:rRNA from 1 species